rnacentral:sRNA from 1 species
ACGUACAGCAAGUACGUUCCGGUUCCUGUGCUCCGUCCGCCUAGCCUGACAACCGCUCGCGACAAAAAUUCUCAAGCUCUGAGCCGUUCAGCC